rnacentral:rRNA from 1 species
UACGGGGGGAGCAAGCGUUGUUCGGAUUUACUGGGCGUAAAGGGCGCGUAGGCGGCGCAACAAGUCACUUGUGAAAUCUCCGGGCUUAACCCGGAGCGGCCAAGUGAUACUGUCGUGCUAGAGUGCGGAAGGGGCUACUGGAAUUCUCGGUGUAGCGGUGAAAUGCGUAGAUAUCGAGAGGAACACCUGCGGCGAAGGCGGGUAGCUGGGCCGAACACUGACGCUGAGGCGCGAAAGCCAGGGAGCGAACGGG